rnacentral:rRNA from 1 species
UACGAAGGGGGCUAGCGUUGCUCGGAAUCACUGGGCGUAAAGGGCGCGUAGGCGGCCGUUCAAGUCAGAGGUGAAAGCCCAAGGCUCAACCUUGGAAUUGCCUUUGAUACUGGACGGCUCGAGACCGGAAGAGGUAAGUGGAACUGCGAGUGUAGAGGUGAAAUUCGUAGAUAUUCGCAAGAACACCAGUGGCGAAGGCGGCUUACUGGUCCGGUUCUGACGCUGAGGCGCGAAAGCGUGGGGAGCAAACAGG